AGAGUUUGAUCCUGGCUCAGAUUGAACGCUGGCGGCAUGCCUUACACAUGCAAGUCGAACGGCAGCGGACCUUCGGGUGCCGGCGAGUGGCGAACGGGUGAGUAAUGUAUCGGAACGUACCUUUCAGUGGGGGAUAACGUAGCGAAAGUUACGCUAAUACCGCAUAUUCUGUGCGCAGGAAAGCAGGGGAUCGCAAGACCUUGCGCUGAUUGAGCGGCCGACAUCAGAUUAGCUAGUUGGUGAGGUAAAGGCUCACCAAGGCGACGAUCUGUAGCGGGUCUGAGAGGAUGAUCCGCCACACUGGAACUGAGACACGGUCCAGACUCCUACGGGAGGCAGCAGUGGGGAAUUUUGGACAAUGGGGGCAACCCUGAUCCAGCCAUGCCGCGUGAGUGAAGAAGGCCUUCGGGUUGUAAAGCUCUUUCGGCCGGGAAGAAAUCGCAUGGGUUAAUACCCUGUGCGGAUGACGGUACCGGCAUAA
rnacentral:rRNA from 1 species